rnacentral:rRNA from 1 species
CCUACGGGUGGCAGCAGUGAGGAAUAUUGGUCAAUGGACGAGAGUCUGAACCAGCCAAGUCGCGUGAAGGAUGACUGCCCUAUGGGUUGUAAACUUCUUUUAUAUGGGAAUAAAAUGUUCCACGUGUGGGAUUUUGUAUGUACCAUAUGAAUAAGGAUCGGCUAACUCCGUGCCAGCAGCCGCGGUAAUACGGAGGAUCCGAGCGUUAUCCGGAUUUAUUGGGUUUAAAGGGAGCGUAGGUGGAUUGUUAAGUCAGGUGUGAAAGUUUGGGGCUCAACGGUAAAAUUGCAGUUGAAACUGGCAGUCUUGAGUGCAGUAGAGGUGGGCGGAAUUCGUGGUGUAGCGGUGAAAUGCUUAGAUAUCACGAAGAACACCGAUUGCGAAGGCAGUUCACUGGCCUACAACUGACGCUGAGGCUCGAAAGUGUGGGUAUCAAACAGGAUUAGAUACCCCAGUAGUC